AGCGGCGGACGGGUGAGUAACGCGUGGGUAACCUGCCCUGUACACACGGAUAACAUACCGAAAGGUAUGCUAAUACGAGAUAAUAUACUUUUAUCGCAUGGUAGAAGUAUCAAAGCUUUUGCGGUACAGGAUGGACCCGCGUCUGAUUAGCUAGUUGGUAAGGUGACGGCUUACCAAGGCGACGAUCAGUAGCCGACCUGAGAGGGUGAUCGGCCACAUUGGAACUGAGACACGGUCCAAACUCCUACGGGAGGCAGCAGUGGGGAAUAUUGCACAAUGGGCGAAAGCCUGAUGCAGCAACGCCGCGUGAGCGAUGAAGGCCUUCGGGUCGUAAAGCUCUGUCCUCAAGGAAGAUAAUGACGGUACUUGAGGAGGAAGCCCCGGCUAACUACGUGCCAGCAGCCGCGGUAAUACGUAGGGGGCUAGCGUUAUCCGGAAUUACUGGGCGUAAAGGGUGCGUAGGUGGUUUCUUAAGUCAGAGGUGAAAGGCUACGGCUCAACCGUAGUAAGCCUUUGAAACUGGGAAACUUGAGUGCAGGAGAGGAGAGUGGAAUUCCUAGUGUAGCGGUGAAAUGCGUAGAUAUUAGGAGGAACACCAGUUGCGAAGGCGGCUCUCUGGACUGUAACUGACACUGAGGCACGAAAGCGUGGGGAGCAAACAGGAUUAGAUACCCUGGUAGUCCACGCCGUAAACGAUGAGUACUAGCUGU
rnacentral:rRNA from 1 species